CUCUCAUAUUUAAUAAUGAAUCACAUUAAAGCAUUUAGAAGUCUGACCGCGUCUUGUAUGACAAAUGAGCAAAUCCAAAAGUACAUUGCACAUAACGGAAAGGUUAACAAAUGGAAUCACCUCUUCUUGUUCUACAGCAGAACACCAGAUAGAAGCCUUUCAAGUCUUCUUGAAUCCAGAUCUCUAUUUGCACAGAAAAACGACCGACGGUAGUACCACACUCACGUGAUCUCUCUGGCAAUUAAGAGAUCUCGUAAUUAUUUCACAGGUGGAAAAAAUAGCCAAAGUUGAAUCUGAUCCCCAAGUGUUGUGAAGUUAGAAGAUGAUGCACACUCCAUUCCUAUUUCUCUAUGGGAAGAACAAGGUAAACAAAUAUCACCUGAAGAUUGUAAAUGAUUUCAGAAAAAACGAAACUGAAAUUAUUUGAGAGAAAAGAAACGUGAAUCUUAUUGAAAGAGUUGCUCCCCUUAUAUAGACAAAACUAGAGUGAACCCUCAUCGUUAGUUGACUAAUAUGUAAAGUUCACUUUACUACUGAGUUAACUAAUAUUUACAGAAUUACAAUUGUACUCCUAUAAAUAUUUACACUAUUUACAGUCCUCAAGCCGAGGGCUAGUGAAGAUCCACAAGUCCCAUCUUGGACAAAAGAGAAUAAAAGAAGUCGUUGCAUAAGGGUUUAUUAAAAAGAUCUGCUAACUAUGUCUAAGAAUUGACUUUAAUAGUAGCAAUGAACCCUUUGAGAAAUUCAUCCCUAACAGGUGGCAAUCGAUCUCCAACUGUUUGGUUCUUUCGUGAAAUACUGGGUUUGCUGCUAUAUAAAUGGCAGCUUGGUUAUCGCAGUGAAGGGCAAUGGAAAGUGACAGAUGUAUCUGAAAAUCUUUUAGUAAUUAGGAAAUCCACUUUAACUCACAAACAACAGCUGCCAUACUCUUAUAUUCAGUUUCAGCAGAUGACCUACUUACAGUAUUUUGCUUCUUUGUUUUCCAAGUGAUUGUCUUUCGGUGGAAGACCUGACCAAUUCAAUGUCUAAGAAAUACUUGGCAUAACCAAGUCUUUGAUUCUGAACUGUUUGUGCAAGUAAGCCUUUGUUUCUUCAAUAUGCUCUUCAUUAGUUCUUGAAAUCAAUAUAUCAUCCACAUAUACAAGCAAACACUUGAAAAUGAGAGUUAAUGGAUUUUAUGAAUAAAUAGUAAUCUGAUUUGGAUUGUGUGAAUCCAAAGUGCUUGAUUUUUUCAGUGAAUUCCCCGUUCCAUUGUCUCUUUGCUUGUUUGAGGCCAUAAAUAAACUUGAUAAACUUAGAAACUUACGCUGAUUUGGCCUUUGAAUAUCCAUCUGGUGGAGUCAUGUACAAAUCUUCAUCAAUAAAGUUAUAGAAAUAGGCAUUAUUGAUAUCCAAUUGAUGGAUUGACCAGCCUUUAGAUGCUGCAAUUGCCAAAAAAACCCUUACAAUGAUUAAUUUUACUACAAGACUGAAACUUUUUGUGUAAUCUACUCUUGGCACUUGGUUGUAGCCCUUGGCUACCAAGCCAUCGAGAUUGUGUUUAAUCCUAUAUACCCACUUUAAUUCAAUGGGUUUUUUGUUUGAAGGUAAAUAAGUGAGCUCCCAUGUAUUAUUAUCUUUUAGUGCUAAUAGUUCCUUUUGCAUAGCCACUACCCAAUUUGGGUCCGUCUUAGCUUGAUGAUAAGUUGUAGGUGCAUGAGAUGCAGAUACAUUGGCUAGAAAAAACAAGGUAAUCUUUAUGAAAUUUUGGGUUAGAGAUGGAAAUAGAGGGAUUUGGUAUACCUAAGAGGUCUGCUUGACUGAGGGUAGUAGUUUGGCAUUCUUGAUCAUCUUUUACAGCAGCCACAAAACCUUGCAACCAUGCAGGUUUAGAUCUUUGUCUUGAGCCCCUUCUGAUGUUUUGUACAUUAACAGGAGUUGAGCAUUGGGGUUGUGGACAUGAUUCUAUUGAUGGUGUGUCAGCAGAGUUGACAUUGUCUGUGUUGUUUGUGUCGUUUAACCUUAAUAGGUCCUUGGGAGGCUAUGUUGGUGGAGCUUCAUUCUCACUGUAAAUGGGAAUUGGUAAAGGUGUAGGUUCAGACAAAGUUUUUAGUGUUAACUUCUGAAAAGGAAAGAUAGCCUCAUGAAGGAUGACAUCUCUAGAUAUACAAACUUUCUUUGAAUCCAAUGCAUAUAGCGUAUAGGCCUUUUGUCUAGGUACAUACUCUAGAAAGAUACACUUUAUUGCUCUAGGUUGGAACUUGGUCUUGUUUGGGAUUGUAUUUGUGGUAAAGCAAAGGCAUCCAAAGUCCUUAAGGUUGGUGUAGUCUGGCUUUUUGUCAUAAAGGAUCUCAAAAGGUGAUUUCCAGUUUAAUUUUGGUGUAGGUAGUUUGUUUAUGAUGUGAGUGGCUAUAAGGAUUGAAUCUCCCCAGAAUCUUUUUGGCAAGUUGGCUUGAAACAUAAGAUUUCUGGCUAUUUGUAAGAGGUGUUGGUGCUUUCUUUCAGUCACACCAUUUUGCUGUGGUGUGUAGAAGCAAGAUCUUUGGUGUAUGAUUGCCUUUACUGUGAAUAAUUGAUGGCAAACUCGAUUUACAAAUUCGGACCCAUUGUCCAAUCUAACCACCUUCACUGAUCUGUUGAAUUGGUUUGAUAUAAGGUUCAAGAAUAAAGCAAUCAUUGAAGAAGUUUGGGUUUUAUCUGCUAUAAGAUAAGUCCAAGUCGUUUUACUGAAAUCAUCUAUCAAGGUUAGGAAAUACCUUACACCAGACUGUGAAAUGACAUGAUAAAGUCUCCACAAAUCCAUAUGUAUAAGUUCAAAGACAUGAGAAGUCACUGUGGUACUUUUUUGAAAUGGCAUUCUCUUUUGUUUAACUAAAGGGCAAACUUCACAAACUUUUAUUUCAUCAUUGCAAACCUCAGUAUUUAUAAUCUUGCACAAUACACUUGAUAAUGCACGUCCUAAUCUAGUAUGCCAAAGGCUAAUACUGUCCACACUUGACGUUGCUAUUGCAUUAUUUUCAUUACAAGCUAUCCAAUGCAACUCUUUAUUCUUCAACUCAUUGACAUUAAAGAAGGAUGCAUCUAUUUUGUAGAGUCUUACUUACACUUUGCCAAUGGCUACUACCUUCUCAAUCAAGUGGUUCUACAAAACACAUUUAUUUUGCAGGAAACUAAUUGUCAUCGUUUUGUCUUGUACCAGCUUGUGUACUAAAAGCAGGUUAUAUUUGAAUUAGGGUAUGUAUAAUAUAUCUUGCAAUUCAAGAUUUGGACUUAAAAUCACAGUACCUAUAUGAGUCACUGUUUGGACAGAAUCAUCAAGUGGACUAGGUUAUUUGAGGUUUGUCUUUGUGGAUUUUUUAAUAGGUGGUAAUUUGAACACAUGUGAGUGGUAGCUCCUGUGUCUACGACCUAACCUACUCUAUCAUGCAAUUUAAACAAAGACAAAUUAAGAGAGCUACCUGCAAAGUUAGAAUAAUUUGCACAGUUUACCUCUGCUAUUCCCUUUCCCUUCAUGUACCUUGCAACUUCUUGCUGAAUUAUUGUGGCUAAUGCUGAAUUCGAUUCAGCAGGUUGGAUCUCAAACAAUGACAAUGGUUCAUCCGCAACUACUUCAUUUUUGUGUUACUGCAUAAGCCUAAGGUUUGGUCUUUUUCUGCUUUAGUUCUUUGUACCAGUCUGGAUAUCCGUGGAUCUUGAAGCAACUGUCUUUCACAUGUCCUUCAACAUGACAAUGAUUAUAAUAUUUGUCUUCCUUUUUUAGAUAACCUUUCUUGCCUUCGUAAUUUCUUGUUCCAGCUUUAUUUCCAUUGAAUCUAUUGUUUCCUUGAUUGUUUGCUAACAUUGCAGAUGCCUCAGUCAGCUCAAUGACAUUGUAUACUUUUCGUUUCUUUUCAACCUUGAGUAUCAUAGAAUAAGCUUUCUUAACGAUUGGCAGUAGAUUCAAUAGUAGGAUCUGAUUUCUUAUGUGAUCAUAAGCAUCGUUUAAUCCCAUAAAAACUGCACCAAUUUGUCAUUAUUGUCCAAGUCUACCAUGGCCUUGGAUGCACCACAUGUGCAUGCUGGAAAAACUUUUAGGCAUCUUUUAGGCAUGACAACUCAUCCCACAAUUUUUUUAGUUUUGUAAAGUACACAAUUACAGGCAUGUUUUCCUGGAAAAAGGAGCUGAUUUUUCUCUUUAGUUGAUACAUGAGAGGUCCAUUACAUUCGUUGAACCUCUUCUCUAGUUCAAACCAUAAAUCUUGAGCAAUAGCAACAUAUAAUAAUGCAUCUACUAAUUCUUUAGAGAUAGAAUUCAAUAGCCAUGAGAAAACUAUGCUAUCAACUUUUAGCCAUUGCUCAUAUUCAUUAGAAUCUAUAUUCGACACAUCAAUUUUGCCAUUUAUGAAUCCUAAUUUGUUCUUAGCGCGAAGCGCUAUUUUCAUCGAUCUACUCCAAGAGAGGUAAUUAGUUCCAGUUAGAGGAGCACUUACCAACACCAUGCUUGGAUGGUCAUAAUUCUGCAAGAGGAAAGAUUCAUUCAUCUUGAAUCUCCUUUCGAUAGUUUCUUAUUGUUUUUGUAGCAAAAUAUCUCUUUUUAUUUGAGACACUGAGAAUUCCACCAUUUUUG
rnacentral:lncRNA from 1 species